UACGGAGGGGGCUAGCGUUGUUCGGAAUUACUGGGCGUAAAGGGCACGUAGGCGGCUCCGCAAGUCAGGCGUGAAAGCCCGGGGCUCAACCCCGGAACUGCGUUUGAGUCUGCGUCGCUUGAAUCCGGGAGAGGCGGGUGGAAUUCCGAGUGUAGAGGUGAAAUUCGUAGAUAUUCGGAAGAACACCAGUGGCGAAGGCGGCCCGCUGGACCGGUAUUGACGCUGAGGUGCGACAGCGUGGGGAGCAAACAGG
rnacentral:rRNA from 1 species